rnacentral:lncRNA from 1 species
GCAGUCUCAGGGUCUAUCGGAAAGAAGUAACGGAGAGGGAACACAAUAAAUAACAAAGCAAUCAAAGCAUCACAAAGCGUAACAAGACAAUACGCGGUGUUCGGUGUGCCCUAACGCGGUAGUAGGUGAUACCGGUGAAGGGGGGAAAACAUCCGGGAAAGUAUUCCCGGUGUUUCGUGUUUUCUGACAGAUGAACCGGAGGGGGAAAUUUGCGGGUUUGAUAUGUUAGGGGUGUGUGGUGGACGAACGGGCUGCGUAUCCGGGUUCGUCUCGUCGUUCUGAGCAACUUUCAUGUAUAAAACUUUUUCAUUCAAGCUACGGAUUAUUUUCUAUUGAUUUUCAAAGCUUUAAGCAAUAUCCUAAAAAUCCCUGAAAUUCUACUAAGUCUGAGAUUUCGUCAGUUUUAAACAUCACUUUGCUGUUUUCAAAACGCUACAACUAUUGUUCUGUACAUCCUCUGUUUUUGUGCUUUAUACCAAUUUUGAGCAUUUUUCUAUGAUCUACAAGAUAGUAGCACUUGUAUCUCUGUUAGAGUGCAUUUGCUUGAUCAUCAACAGCUCUAAAGUAGCUAUGAAAUUAAAGCCGUUUUCGGCUUUUCUAUUAACAGAACAUUGAACUUUGUGAUUUUCUUAUGAUUUAAUCCAGGCAUCUAACGGAUUAGGUCCAAUGAAAACAUUUGAGCCUUGUCAAGUGUACUACCUUCCCAUAAUAUUUUUGCUCCUGUUAAAAGUCAUUUAGUCGAUGUUUAGGGGCUGUUCAGAGGGUUAAACAGUAUAGAAUUGGAAAAGCUAGCUCGCAUCAGCUACAGUAACUAGCAGCAUUACAACGGCAACAGAGUAGCAGAGGCCGGGUGCUUGCGGGCACGGCGGUUGUGGGCUGGCGCCGGGCGGCAGUUGGUGCGGGCACGCGCACGUGGGUGUGCGCGGGGGCGCAGCCAGGCGAGCAGCCGCCGGUGACAGCAGCAAGCCGCAGCAGCGGUCGCGGUGCGACGCGGGAGCACACAUGGGGGCGAGGCCACACGAAGGCGGGCACGCGCGUACGCGCAGCCGGGCGCAACCGGUCGUGGCCAGAGGCCACACGAAGGCGGGCACGCGCGUACGCGCAGCCGGGCGCAACCGGUCGUGGCCAGAGGCCAGCGAGCGCGGGCACAGCGUGACGGCGCGAGCAGCGGCAGGCAACAGUAGGUAGAACGCAUCAGCAACACGCAUCAGUUACAGAGGAGCGGCAGCGUGCACGUACGCGAACACUGAACUUUUGCCAUGGUGGACAAAGCUCACGGGACGGCCACAAACGGAAUGGAUCGAGCCGGAGAAGAGGGGGAAUCGGACGAGGAGCUCACCGCGGAGGCACACGGAGGCCCGUUGGUGGCUUAGGAGCUGCAGAGGCGACGGAUCGAUGAAGAGCAGCAGCGACGAUCGAGGAAGAAGAAGGCGUCGAUCCGGUCGAGGUGGUUGCUCCGAGAUCGAGUUGAUCCACGUAGGGGAAGCAUGGCAUGCUGGUGGAGCUCCUGGGCAUUCUCCGAUGGUGCCGGGAGGCCGGUGGCCGCGCCUACGGCGGCGGUAUGGCGACAGCAGCGCCGACGAGCUCGGGCGUGUGGGAGAUGGGCAAAGAGAGGGGGAUCUGGAGGGCAGCUAGGGUUCAACCAGGGCAUGGGUGUCCUUGUAGGUCGAUGGGGCGACGGGGACGGCCGUAGGAUGGCCAACGUGUGGCCAUCCGCGUCAUGGACGCGGGUGUGG